GAUGAAGAACGCAGCGAAAUGCGAUAAGUAAUGUGAAUUGCAGAAUUCAGUGAAUCAUCGAAUCUUUGAACGCACCUUGCGCCCUUUGGCCAUUCCGAAGGGCAUGCCUGUUUGAGUAUCAUGAACACCUCAACUCUUCAUGGUUUUCCAUGAUGAGCUUGGACUUUGGGGGUCUUGCUGGCCUGUGGGUCGGCUCCUCUCAAAUGAAUCAGCUUGCCAGUGUUUGGUGGCAUCACGGGUGUGAUAACUAUCUACGCUUGUGGUUUCCCACCAGGUAACCUUCAGUGAUGGAGGUUCGCUGGGGCUCAUAAAUGUCCCUCCACAGUGAGGACAGCUUUUGAACGUUUGAUCUCAAAUCAGGUAGGACUACCCGCUGAACUUAAGCAUAUCAAUAAGCGGAGGA
rnacentral:misc_RNA from 1 species